rnacentral:rRNA from 1 species
UCGACGGAGAGUUUGAUCCUGGCUCAGGACGAACGCUGGCGGCAUGCCUAAUACAUGCAAGUCGAACGCGACCAGCCGGUGCUUGCACUGGCGAAGUCGAGUGGCGAACGGGUGAGUAACACGUGAGAAACCUACCCUGGAGUGGGGAAUAACUCGAAGAAAUUCGAGCUAAUACCGCAUACCUUCUUACCGUCGAAUGGUGGUUUGAAGAAAGAUUUAUCGCUCUGGGAGGGUCUCGCGGCCUAUCAGCUAGUUGGUGAGGUAACGGCUCACCAAGGCAUCGACGGGUAGCUGGUCUGAGAGGACGAUCAGCCACACUGGAACUGAGACACGGUCCAGACUCCUACGGGAGGCAGCAGUAGGGAAUCUUGCGCAAUGGGCGAAAGCCUGACGCAGCAAUGCCGCGUGCGGGACGAAGGCCCUAGGGUCGUAAACCGCUUUCAGUAGGGACGAAAAUGACGG